GACGAGGAAAAUGGCUUUACUAUGGUUACCCAUUUGAUUGGUCGGCAUGGUUUCAGAAACUUACUAUCCCCUUGUUUCUAAGGUCUUCACGUUUGAAAUAACGCUCCUAGCAUAAACCGAUAGUAGAAACAUUGAGGGACAUGAGUUUGUCAAAGCAAUGGAUACAAAAUCAAAAUAGAAAGCCACUCAUAGUCAGGCAUUCGUUCAAGUAGAGCCAAGGUCUCUCUCUCUCUUCCCACGUGUUGACCGGCUCUUGAGUAUAUCGCAUUAAUGCAACUCUGAUCAUCAUUCAUCGAUAACAAAAGCACCACCACCAACAACAUUUAGAGCAACCAUCAAUCAAUGAUAACGGGAUGGCACUGAUACAAGUAAAUCCGGUAAUCCAACCGGUGGUGCAACCGGUUCAAACAAUUGUGACUGUGCCUCAGCCUCAACCCAUCAUGCUUUUGCCACCACCCUUACCCAUGUUUGGUCCACAUUCCAUUCAAGUGACUUGUACCAAUUGCCGUCAAUUUGUCCACACCAGAACGAAACGAUCCGUCAAUUCCACUGGCUGGAUUUAUGCAGGUGUACUUUGCUUGUUAUUGCCAGGGUGUUGUUGGAUUCCAAUUUGCAUGGAGAGUUGCCAAGAUACUUCCCAUACGUGCUCAAACUGUCGUUGCCUUUUGGGCAUACACCGUGGAUAACAAUGAUCUUAGCACGAGCUUUUUUUUUUGCUUACAUGUAUGUAGUAUGCACAUUAAUCUCUUAUGCUAUUGUUUCAAUGCGCAAUCAAGUCCAAUUAAUCCUAUGUGGAUGUCUUGUAAUGUCAAAGAGUAGCUUUCAUUGGUUUACUGGUGAUCUUUAAUUUUCUGCAUUAACUUGCUCCAAAACAAUCUCAUGUUGUCAUUUUUUUGACGAUGCAAGAGACCUUGGAUCCCUUGGGUUAUGUACGUACUUCCAUUCCAAAAAUCAUGCUAAAAUAGUGAGCCAUGAUAAAGGACAACACAUUCUAAAUGUUGCUAUUUUGAUCUACGACAUACUGGAAUUAACCAAAACGUUAUCUUUACUGAGACAAUUGUUACCUUUUUUUAAAUAUCCAGAAGUUUUGCAAAAAGUGGAGUUGGUCAGCUACGUAAACUUUUGACAACAUGACUUUGAAACGAACCAUUUUACAAGUAAACAAUAUAAAAAUGACCCGUCUUUAAUUGAAGAAAUCUGCGUUUCAUAUCAUAUUACUUUAAUUCGAAAAGUGGCUCUGAGUUGUUAUAACCAAGAGCAGGCCGAUUUGGCGGGGUGCUCGUUCACAGUCCAUAUUUCUGGAAGUUCUUUCAUAAGCACUUACGUUGCACAAAAUCGGGUUGAUUGACUCACCUGAAGGUAGCGUCUUCAAAGCAUUUAUGUAAGAACGCUUCCUACGUGGAAGAAAAUAUAUUUUACACUAAAAACAUUUCUUUUUACGUUGACUUUGAGCACCUGCAUUGUCACAAAUUAAGGCACACAUUGGCAAAUAUGCAAUGAAUUUUUAAAUUACCUUAAAAAAGGUGGCAAAAUUAUUGAUAGUGCGAUCUUCCCAUGAAAUUUGUAAUCACCUCAACAAGAGUGUGAGUGAGUGGGUUUCACGCCAAGCAGCUAGCAAUAAUUUCAUCAAUGUACGUAUACAAGGUAUUCCCUUGAAGACUAUUCCUUAGCUUGCGUUAGAUUUUCAAUUAACCAUUUGUGACGUAUUUUAAGUUACUGGUUGGAUCACCCCUAAUUGGGACAUUGAAGCAGCAAAGGAAGAUGACGUCAACAUUCAAUUCUGAUACGUCACUCAUAUUAUUACGGCUUGAUAGUUCCUUGUCAAUUGAUUAAAUCAGAGCGCCAAUUCAUGUAUUUAUUGAAAAAUGGUGUAUGUAGCAUUGCAACUUAAUAAACUGUUACAGUUUUACUCAUUAACACGAUUAAAAAAUACUUUUCAGCCGAAAAAAGCUGACAUAAUUAGACAGAUGCUACUUAAAGAGGUCAAUAGUCACUACUUUUAGGAUUUUAGAUUAUUGCUAUAGCGACUUUGAAACAUUUUCCUUUCACUCAGUUCUGACGUGGUAAGUGAGAGGGGAAAAUAGAACAAAUGGGAUGCAUAGCCGCCGGGCAUGUGUGUAAGCCAUAUAACUUGAAACUUUAGAUAAACUCAAUGAAGGACCACUAAAUAAACUCAUCGACCAGUUUAUGCAUUGAAAAAGAACUCCACAUGAGUAUUUAUAUUAAACCUAUCGUACGUUAUGAACGAAAAUGAGAUGUUGCGCAUUAUCUUUCUGAAACUUUAUGAGCAUACUUAUGAGAAUGGGCUUGUUCUUGCUUCUUCUUCUUCUUCUCUGCUCAUGUGCUCAGUAAUUGCUACAUGUAUUUGAACGAGUCUUUUGGGACCAUCAAACAAGAUAAAUUUUGCUACCAUAUUGAAAAUAAGCACUGAGUGCAUUUUAUAAUUCAACAUGAAGUUUGUUGCGAAUCUUCCAAUUCUAUUGUUUUGUUUAGUUUGGUUUUUCAUUUUAGGAACCCUUGCUAUCCCUCUGGGAUAUAGACUUCCAUGAAAACAAGCCUUAUGGCUUAUGGAAGUCUUGGGGAGCUGCUGCUUUUGAACAUCAUGAACAAUUAGCAUUUAAACCCCCUGAAAUACAUACAUACUUUUCUAAUCGCCACAGCGAAUGUAAUCCCCAGUACCAUUUGAAUGAAAGGUUAUUAUACGUCUA